GAUGAACGCUAGCUACAGGCUUAACACAUGCAAGUCGAGGGACCGGUGCACGGGUGAGUAACACGUAUCCAACCUGCCCUUUACUCUGGGAUAGCCUUUCGAAAGAAAGAUUAAUACCCUAUGUAAAGGAUGGGGAUGGGUUUCAUUAGGUUGUGGGUGAGGUAACGGCUCACCAAGCCUUCUAUGGUUAGGGGUGCUUAGAGGAAGGUCCCCCACAUUGGAACUGAGACACGGUCCAAAAUCCUACGGGAGGCAGCAGUGAGGAAUAUUGGUCAAUGGGCGUUAGCCUGAACCAGCCAAGGAGCGUGAAGGAUGAAGGCUUAUGGGUCGUAAACUUCUUUUAUAUAAGAAUAUGUAUUAUAUGAAUAAGGAUCGGCUAACUCCGUGCCAGCAGCCGCGGUAAUUC
rnacentral:rRNA from 1 species